rnacentral:rRNA from 1 species
UACGUAGGGUGCAAGCGUUAAUCGGAAUUACUGGGCGUAAAGCGUGCGCAGGCGGCUUUGCAAGACAGAUGUGAAAUCCCCGGGCUCAACCUGGGAACUGCAUUUGUGACUGCAUCGCUGGAGUGCGGCAGAGGGGGGUAGAAUUCCACGUGUAGCAGUGAAAUGCGUAGAGAUGUGGAGGAAUACCGAUGGCGAAGGCAGCCCCCUGGGAUAACACUGACGCUCAUGCACGAAAGCGUGGGGAGCAAACAGG